UACAGAGGGUGCAAGCGUUAAUCGGAAUUACUGGGCUUAAAGCGCGCGUAGGCGGUUUGUUAAGUUGGAUGUGAAAGCCCAGGGCUCAACCUGGGAACUGCAUCCAAAACUGGCAAGCUAGAGCACGGUAGAGGGUGGCGGAAGUUCCUGUGUAGCGGUGAAAUGCGUAGAUAUAGGAAGGAACACCAGUGGCGAAGGCGACCACCUGGACAGAUACUGACACUGAGGUGCGAAAGCGUGGGUAGCAAACAGG
rnacentral:misc_RNA from 1 species